AGCAGCCGCGGUAAUUCCAGCUCCAAUAGCGUAUAUUAAAGUUGCUGCAGUUAAAAAGCUCGUAGUUGAAUUUCGGGAUCAAUAUGUUGGUCGUGCCUCGGUACGUACUAGCUUAUUGGUUUCUCCCUUCUGACGAACCAUGAUGUCAUUUAUUUGGUGUUAUGGGAAAUCAGGACUGUUACUUUGAAAAAAAUUAGAGUGUUUAAAGCAGGCUCACGCUUGAAUACAUUAGCAUGGAAUAAUGAAAUAGGACGUUUGAUUCUAUUUUGUUGGUUUCUAGGAUCGACGUAAUGAUUAAUAGGGAUAGUUGGGGGCAUUAGUAUUCAAUUGUCAGAGGUGAAAUUCUUGGAUUUAUUGAAGACUAACUACUGCGAAAGCAUUUGCCAAGGAUGUUUUCAUUAAUCAAGAACGAAAGUUAGGGGAUCGAAGACGAUCAGAUACCGUCGUAGUCUUAACCAUAAACUAUGCCGACUAGGGAUCGGAUGAUGUUAAUUUUUUAAUGACUCAUUCGGCGCCUUAC
rnacentral:sRNA from 1 species